AUUGAACGCUGGCGGCAGGCCUAACACAUGCAAGUCGAGCGGAUGAAGGGUGCUUGCUCCUGGUUUCAGCGGGGGACGGGUGAGUAAUGCCUAGGAAUCUGCCUGGCUGUGGUGUAUAACGUCCUGAAACGGGCGCUAAUACCGCAUAAGUCCUGAUGGCGAAAGUGGGGGAGCUUCGGACCUCACGCUAUCAGAUGAGCCUAGGUCGGAUUAGCUAGUUGGUGGGUUGAAGGCCUACCAAGGCGACGAUCCGUAACUGGUCUGAGAGGAUGAUCAGUCACCCUGGAACUGAGACACGGUCCAGACUCCUACGGGAGGCAGCAGUGGGGAAUAUUGGACAAUGGGCGAAAGCCUGAUCCAGCCAUGCCGCGUGUGUGAAGAAGGUCUUCGGAUUGUAAAGCACUUUUAGUUGGGAGGAAGGGCAGUAAGUUAAUACCUUGCUGUUUUGACGGUACCAACAGAAUAAGCACCGGCUAACUUCGUG
rnacentral:rRNA from 1 species